AACGAACGCUGGCGGCAGGCUUAACACAUGCAAGUCGAGCGCCCCGCAAGGGGAGCGGCAGACGGGUGAGUAACGCGUGGGAAUCUACCCAUCUCUACGGAAUAACGCAUGGAAACGUGUGCUAAUACCGUAUACGUCCUUCGGGAGAAAGAUUUAUCGGAGAUGGAUGAGCCCGCGUUGGAUUAGCUAGUUGGUGGGGUAAAGGCCUACCAAGGCGACGAUCCAUAGUUGGUCUGAGAGGAUGAUCAGCCACACUGGGACUGAGACACGGCCCAGACUCCUACGGGAGGCAGCAGUGGGGAAUAUUGGACAAUGGGCGCAAGCCUGGUCCAGCCAUGCCGCGUGAGUGAUGAAGGCCCUAGGGUUGUAAAGCUCUUUCACCGGUGAAGAUAAUGACGGUAACCGGAGAAGAAGCCCCGGCUAACUUCGUGCCAGCCGCCGCAGUAACAC
rnacentral:rRNA from 1 species